GCCUCGGCUGAAACCCGAGCUCCCUGCGAUCUCCGCUGCGAGAAGGGGCGGGCUGGGAGAAUUCCUGAGAAAAGCCCCUCUGGAAAAAACCAAACCCUCCGAAAGACGAGGGCCUGCCCCUCCCCCGGCCCCUCCACACCGCCCGCUCAGCCCUCACCUGCGACCCAGCCUGGGCCUGGCCGCCUUCCCCGCCCCCACUCUUCGGCUCCAUCUCCCUGACCUUUCCGAGGCCUGGGCUGGGGUGCCUCGGAGGAAAUGAAAUUGUUCUGGAGAUUACAGUGGGGCUUUGGGCCAGAAGCACCCCCGCCUUCUCAUGCUUGCAUGUUAAAUGCAAACUUGUAUCUCUUGUCACAAGAAUGGCCAAAUUUUCUCGCUUAUUUGCAGUUUUGCAAAGUGCUACACACAGAUCAGGGAACCUGAAGGCCUACGGAGACCCACGUUGUGCAGGCUCUGGGAAGCAGAUCCUCCUGCAGAAAUAUUGCUGUCCUUGGGAGCGUGGAAGCCAGCCAUCACUGUGAUGGAUAGACAAGAGGACCGUGGCAGAGAAAGGAGCAGAUUCGUAGUGGCCACACGGAAGGAGGAGGCAGCUGCAGUAGCUGCUGCUUCUACAUGCAGGCAUCCAGCAGUGUGUGCCUAGCAGCAGACUUGGUGUCCCCAGUGUGAAGAGCCCAGGCUUUGCCCAUUAGGCUGUGACUGAAAACAAUCCCCCUGCUCCAAGCAGCCUCCACAGCGCCUACCCCAAGUCCCUAAACAGAUUCCUGGACUGCGAGAGCACAGUUCAUAGCAUGAACAUCUAAGGGCUGGAUUUGGUAGGGGGAAGGAAGCGCAGAGAAUUCCCACCCGAUUCUGAAAUCACCAACACACUCACAUGCAGUAGCCAGUAUUUGCGCCUGUGUAUGUGACAGUGUCAUACUUUUGUCCCCAGAAUGACACUUCAAAAAUAUUUCUCCUACAUACCACCAGAGGCUGUUUUUACACCCCACUGUUGCGAGUCAGUCUCCUGUAAACCAUAUUUGUGCGUUUUCCCCAUAGAUUUUAAUGAAAGAAGAAUUGUGCAAAAGCCACUGCUUUGUCCCAGAACUGAAACAAAGACUAACACACAGGAAAGAUGCAGCCUCUCCAAAAUGCCCUCUUCUCUGAUUUGGGAGCGAAGUGCCUGGAGUCACCAGCCCAUAAUUGUGGUUGAUAUUUAAUCCUCCUUGGUACAAAGCUCAUCUUUCCUCUACGCAGGAGUACCAUUGAGAUAUGACUAACCUUUAGGGUUAUAUCCCAAACCGGGAGUCCGGGGCUUACACUCAGAUUGCCUGGGCCUCUUCUAACCUGAACAAAAAGGAUUUGAAGAAAAUCACAUUUUUUCCCCCUUCGCAACAAAGCAUUCCUAAUCACUUCAGCUCGUUGGUGAAUUUUUAUUCCCGUGUCCACUUGGGGUAUUGAAAUCGAUCGCCGCAAUAUUUAAUAUAUUACACUCCUAGGGUCAUUGCUCUCCUAAGACCAAAUUCUCUCCCUUUUGCCCUCAACUCAGCCUGGCUUCUAUCCUCCCAGUCCCAUCUGUCCAGGCCCUCCAUUUAUCUGUCCACACAACGCCUUUAAUUCCCAGC